UACGUAGGGCGCAAGCGUUGUCCGGAAUUAUUGGGCGUAAAGAGCUCGUAGGCGGCUUGUCACGUCGAUUGUGAAAGCUCGGGGCUUAACCCCGAGUCUGCAGUCGAUACGGGCUAGCUAGAGUGUGGUAGGGGAGAUCGGAAUUCCUGGUGUAGCGGUGAAAUGCGCAGAUAUCAGGAGGAACACCGAUGGCGAAGGCAGGUCUCUGGGCAUUAACUGACGCUGAGGAGCGAAAGCAUGGGGAGCGAACAGG
rnacentral:rRNA from 1 species